CCGCACGCCGGAGCUUUCCAUUGGCGGGCAGCCCCCGCGCCCUCCCACAUGCCGCGUUCUCAUUGGUCCACAUGCCAUAGAGCCCAGACGGGCGGCUCCACGCUGCCCUUCCCCAUUGGCUGGUGGUGUCUUGGCCCUAGACAGUUGUCGGCUUCCGAUUGAACCUUAGCGGUCCACAGGAAGUAGCUGCGGCCGCCUCGGAAGCUGCAUGGGCAGCCAUAUUGGAUAGGGGCAGCUGCCUUAGCUGUUGCUGGAGCUGUGGGCGGAAGUAGGAUCUGGCUGCCUCCCAGCGUCAUACUAAAUUGUCCUGCAUUUCACUUGUACUUGUCCCCACGCCCGCCCGGGAGACGCUGCGGAUCUCCCUAACAGGAGCCUGGACUCGUGGUGCAGGGUCAGGAGUUCUAGGGUCAGCCGAGACUCAAUAGAUCAAGUAGGGCUUAACAGCCGCAGACGACAAAUUAUUUUUCCCUUCUUGUUUUGAACAGUCACGUGGGUGAGGGAACCAACCUCUGGGAGUCCGCUGAGGCUCAGGCACCCGCCUGCCCGCCCCAGCUGGCUGAAACCUGCCUUGUCCAGGGUGGGAUGUACUGUAGGUUCCCCCUGGCGGAAGGGCUCGGAGCCCAUCAAUCCCCGCUCAUCCCGAGGCUUUGGUGUCGCCUCAGUGUGGUGGCUACGGGGUUUAGGAGGUUUGUCCUCCACUUUUGGAAGCGAUGUGCAUUUGCUCACAAGCUCCCGACGCAUGCUUGAGCACGCUGGCCCGCCUGCUUUCCAGCUGAGCCAUCAAGGCCUUUGGCUAUCGAGCUACUUCCCGAGUGGGGUCCCGUGGGUCGACUGACAAGCACCAGAGGAUGUGUCCUCCUGGGCUGCCCUGCUUCCAAGGCUUGGCUACCUGUCCUUGAAGAAUUUGUAUUCACAGACUACCUCAAGAAGAUGGCUAUGUAAAGAAAAAAGAAAAAAAAAACCUUCAAAUCCUACUAAUUUUUAAAAGUACUUUCCAGAAAGAAAUCCAGAAUGCUCCCUGACCCUGUGGGCUCACGGGAUAGGACUGCCUUACAUGUAGCAGGUACAAAUUAAACAAAACCAAAAAACCCCAGAAUCUUUACAUCAAUUCAUUUGCAUCAAACUCCUAUCUAAUGCUCAUUCCACAGCAGGAGUGUAUUGGAACUGCCUUCCAAAGGCUGUCCAUGAUUUUUUAUUUGCAUACUUAAUAUCCUGAUCCAUACUGUGGGGAUUAGGAUGGAGGGACAUAAGUAUGCAGACCCAGGAAAGUCCAGGCUCUGGUGAGGAUUUGAUUCACGUUAUGAUUUUAUUCAUGUAAUUGGCUAAUAUUUGACUUGAGGAUUUGAAUUCAUGUUAUGGUGGCUCCCUCUAACAAGGGAGUGCUGUGUUAGCACUAAUUUCUCCAUCUCUACUAACUUGCUUCUUUCCCACUGCCCUGGGCAGCCAAUUCCAUGGUAGGAGAGGGUGAUGGUUAUUUUCAUGAUGGAAUUUAAAUAUAAGUGUUUAUAUGUUUAUGGGACUUCUGAACUACUUCAGAUGUAUUCUAAGAAUCUGCAGGGAGUCUAGGAUCCAGUGACUGAGUGAUUGAGUUCUUCAAAGAAGGAUCGAUUACUCAUAAUCCUACUUUCUAGUCCCACUCAGUCUUUUGACCACCAGGGGGAGUUGCUGACUUACAAGAGUUUAGAGGAUUCUUUGCAGGUCAUUCAUCUCAGGUUUCUAAAGCAACAGGGAGAACAGCAGGGUCAAUGGGUAUGGUCUCAUGACUACUGGGAGUGGGGAAGUAACUCCAAUGUAAAGGACUCUGCUCCAGACCACCUUCUCCAUGAAAACUUUCUCCUCAUUUACCCAAAUGGAGUACAUCACUCCCUUUGUCUAGGAAUAUCUAUUACUGCAUCUACCACAUCUGUCUUCUUCUUUGAUGUCAUACACAGUUUUCUGCCUUUUACAGAGUCUAACACUGUUCCUGAUGAGAUAUUGGGUCAACACAUGGGUUGUAUGAGUGUUGUGGUCUAGAAGUAACUUCUCUUUCUUGUUGCCUCUGCCCUUGCCAUCUUUCCCUACUUUGGGCCCUAGUUUGUCACCAAAACUGGUAAUCAUCUCUCUUAAAAUACUCUAAAAUAUGUUAUGGAAUUUGACCCCCCUCCUUGGCAUCUGAUUUGGCUUUAGUGACUUGCUAGCUAACAGAAAUGAGGCAAAGAGAGUUUCUAGGAUUUCCAAAGCUAGGUAAUAAAAAUCCUUGCAGGUUCUACCUGGGUCUCUUGGAGUGCUGAUUCUGGGGAAAAUCAGCAGUCAUGCUAAGAGAAGCCUAAGCCAUUUGGAAAGGUCAUAUGUAGGAGCUCAAGUUGACAGCCCUAGUUAAGCUCCUCCCGACAGCUAUCUGAUCAACUGGUAGCCAUUUAAGUGAACCAACUUGGACAUCCAGCCCAAUUGAACCUUUAAAUGAUUCCAGUCCGAAGUAACAUCUAAUUCAGUGAGCUGUUAACUCAGACUUAGACAUAGUAAUAAAUUGUUUUAAGACACUA